rnacentral:misc_RNA from 1 species
GACGAAGGUGGCAACCGUUGUUCGGAAUAACUGGGCAUAAAGCGCACGUAGGCGGGAGUGCAAGUCAGGUGUGAAAUCCCUCGGCCCAACCGAGGAACUGCGCUUGAAACUGCACUCCUUGAGGGCGGAAGGGGAGCGUGGAAUUCCUGGUGGAGCGGUGAAAUGCGUUGAUAUCAGGAGGAACACCGGCGGCGAAGGCGACGCUCUGGUCCGCUUCUGACGCUGAGGUGCGAAAGCCAGGGGAGCAAACAGG